AUCGUUUGAUCCUGGCUCCUCUUUCACGCUGGCGGCAGGCCUAACACAUGCAAGUCGCUCUUUAACAGGGGAAGCUUGCUUCUCGCUGACGAGCGGCGGACGGGUGAGUAAUGUAUGGGGAUCUGCCCGAUAGAGGGGGAUAACUACUGGAAACGGUCGCUAAUACCGCAUAAUCUCUAAGGAGCAAAGCAGGGGAACUUCGGUCCUUGCGCUAUCGGAUGAACCCAUAUGGGAUUAGCUAGUUGGUGAGGUAAUGGCUCACCAAGGCGACGAUCCCUAGCUGGUCUGAGAGGAUGAUCAGCCACACUGGGACUGAGACACGGCCCAGACUCCUACGGGAGGCAGCAGUGGGGAAUAUUGCACAAUGGGCGCAAGCCUGAUGCAGCCAUGCCGCGUGUAUGAAGAAGGCCUUAGGGUUGUAAAGUACUUUCAGUUGGGAGGAAGGCGUUGAUGCUAAUAUCAUCAGCGAUUGACGUUACCAACAGAAGAAGCACCGGCUAACUCCGUGCCAGCCGCAGCGGUAAUUC
rnacentral:rRNA from 1 species